rnacentral:misc_RNA from 1 species
AAGUCGUAACAAGGUUUCCGUAGGUGAACCUGCGGAAGGAUCAUUAACACGUAUCCAACGUUAAACCCCCCGUGAACCUUCAGUGCGCUCGCACUUUCUUAGAAAAGGUAGCAAUCCCUGGUAAAUCAUUGCCGAACAGUUUUGAUUCAGGGACUUCUGCGUAGACUGUGCUUGAGCGUGAGGCAAGUGGCCUGGCAUUCCUCUGCUUGUUGGUGUCUGAAAGUGUCACCAGCUCUGUACGAAUGGCGCAGUCACGAUCGCUAGAGGCCGACACGGCCUGCAUGAAAACGGGCCUGCGCUUAAUUGUGCGGCCACCAAACUCGAACAACUGUUAACAAUGGAUAUCUUGGUUCUC